UACGUAGGGUGCGAGCGUUGUCCGGAAUUACUGGGCGUAAAGAGCUCGUAGGUGGUUUGUCGCGUUGUCCGUGAAAACUCACAACUCAAUUGUGGGCGUGCGGGCGAUACGGGCAGACUGGAGUACUGCAGGGGAGACUGGAAUUCCUGGUGUAGCGGUGGAAUGCGCAGAUAUCAGGAGGAACACCGGUGGCGAAGGCGGGUCUCUGGGCAGUAACUGACGCUGAGGAGCGAAAGCCAGGGGAGCGAACGGG
rnacentral:rRNA from 1 species